rnacentral:rRNA from 1 species
CUCGUAGGCGGUUCGUCGCGUCCGGUGUGAAAGUCCAUCGCUUAACGGUGGAUCUGCGCCGGGUACGGGCGGGCUGGAGUGCGGUAGGGGAGACUGGAAUUCCCGGUGUAACGGUGGAAUGUGUAGAUAUCGGGAAGAACACCAAUGGCGAAGGCAGGUCUCUGGCCGUUACUGACGCUGAGGAGCGAAAGCGUGGGAGCGAACA